rnacentral:piRNA from 1 species
UUGGCUGUCUGGGUAUUAAGUAAUGAUGGA